rnacentral:rRNA from 1 species
AUUGAACGCUGGCGGCAGGCCUAACACAUGCAAGUCGAACGGUAACAGGGAUCAGCUUGCUGAUUCGCUGACGAGUGGCGGACGGGUGAGUAAUGUCUGGGAAACUGCCUGAUGGAGGGGGAUAACUACUGGAAACGGUAGCUAAUACCGCAUAACGUCGCAAGGCCAAAGAGGGGGACCUUCGGGCCUCUUGCCAUCGGAUGUGCCCAGAUGGGAUUAGCUAGUAGGUGGGGUAACGGCUCACCUAGGCGACGAUCCCUAGCUGGUCUGAGAGGAUGACCAGCCACACUGGAACUGAGACACGGUCCAGACUCCUACGGGAGGCAGCAGUGGGGAAUAUUGCACAAUGGGCGCAAGCCUGAUGCAGCCAUGCCGCGUGUAUGAAGAAGGCCUUCGGGUUGUAAAGUACUUUCAGCGGGGAGGAAGGGAGUAAAGUUAAUACCUUUGCUCAUUGACGUUACCCGCAGAAGAAGCACCGGCUAACUCCGUG